GACGAACGCUGGCGGCGUGCUUAACACAUGCAAGUCGAACGAAGAGCGAUGGAAGCUUGCUUCUAUCAAUCUUAGUGGCGAACGGGUGAGUAACGCGUAAUCAACCUGCCCUUCAGAGGGGGACAACAGUUGGAAACGACUGCUAAUACCGCAUACGAUCCAAUCUCGGCAUCGAGACUGGAUGAAAGGUGGCCUCUAUUUAUAAGCUAUCACUGAAGGAGGGGAUUGCGUCUGAUUAGCUAGUUGGAGGGGUAACGGCCCACCAAGGCGAUGAUCAGUAGCCGGUCUGAGAGGAUGAACGGCCACAUUGGGACUGAGACACGGCCCAGACUCCUACGGGAGGCAGCAGUGGGGAAUCUUCCGCAAUGGACGAAAGUCUGACGGAGCAACGCCGCGUGAGUGAUGACGGCCUUCGGGUUGUAAAGCUCUGUUAAUCGGGACGAAUGGUUCUUGUGCGAAUAGUGCGAGGAUUUGACGGUACCGGAAUA
rnacentral:rRNA from 1 species